UACAGAGGUCUCAAGCGUUGUUCGGAUUCAUUGGGCGUAAAGGGUGUGUAGGCGGUCCUCUAAGUUUGGUGUGAAAUCUCCCGGCUCAACCGGGAGGGUGCGCCGAAAACUGGAGGGCUAGAGUGCGGGAAGGGAGAGUGGAAUUCCUGGUGUAGCGGUGAAAUGCGUAGAUAUCAGGAGGAACACCGGUGGUGUAGACGGCUCUCUGGACCGCGACUGACGCUGAGACACGAAAGCGUGGGUAGCAAACAGG
rnacentral:rRNA from 1 species